ensembl:snoRNA LOC120101338 small nucleolar RNA SNORA17
CCUGCCCCUAAGGCUUUGCGGGAGUGACAUCUGUGUUACACUGUUAUCAGUAGAUAGCAGAGAGGUGAGAGGCUAUGUCUUAGCUUAGUACUCUGACCUAUUAAGAACAUCUGAAUGAUUAGUACCUUUAUAAG